rnacentral:rRNA from 1 species
GAUGAACGCUGGCGGCGUGCCUAAUACAUGCAAGUCGAGCGAACAGACGAGGAGCUUGCUCCUCUGACGUUAGCGGCGGACGGGUGAGUAACACGUGGAUAACCUACCUAUAAGACUGGGAUAACUUCGGGAAACCGGAGCUAAUACCGGAUAACAUGUUGAACCGCAUGGUUCAACAGUGAAAGACGGUCUUGCUGUCACUUAUAGAUGGAUCCGCGCCGCAUUAGCUAGUUGGUAAGGUAACGGCUUACCAAGGCAACGAUGCGUAGCCGACCUGAGAGGGUGAUCGGCCACACUGGAACUGAGACACGGUCCAGACUCCUACGGGAGGCAGCAGUAGGGAAUCUUCCGCAAUGGGCGAAAGCCUGACGGAGCAACGCCGCGUGAGUGAAGAAGGUCUUCGGACCGUAAAACUCUGUUAUUAGGGAAGAACAAAUGUGUAAGUAACUAUGCACGUCCUGACGGUACCUAAUCAGAAAGCCACGGCUAACUACGUG